GUGAAUCAUCAAAUUUUUGAACGCAAAUUGCACUCUCUUCGGAGAGUAUGCCUGUUUGAGGGUCAGCCUAAAAAAAAAAUCGACAUAGUCGCUGUUUCGCGGUGAUAUUCGUCGGAUAUUGUGUCAUUUUAAAUCUUUGGGUUUUAAGCGUGUUAAAAUUUUUUUUAAGAUUCCACGAAGUUGUCUAAGAUUUAUUU
rnacentral:misc_RNA from 1 species